rnacentral:rRNA from 1 species
AGAGUUUGAUCCUGGCUCAGGAUGAACGCUGGCGGCGUGCCUAACACAUGCAAGUUGAACGGGGUAGCAAUACCUAGUGGCGGACGGGUGAGUAACGCGUGAGAAUUUGCCUUCAGGAUGGGGACAACAGCGGGAAACUGCUGCUAAUACCCGAUAGGCUGAAAAGUGAAAGAUUUAUCGCCUGAAGAGAAGCUCGCGUCUGAUUAGCUAGUUGGUAGUGUAAGAGACUACCAAGGCGACGAUCAGUAGCUGGUCUGAGAGGAUGAGCAGCCACACUGGGACUGAGACACGGCCCAGACUCCUACGGGAGGCAGCAGUGGGGAAUUUUCCGCAAUGGGCGAAAGCCUGACGGAGCAACGCCGCGUGAGGGAGGAAGGCCUUUGGGUUGUAAACCUCUUUUCUAGGGGAAUAAGCAAGUGACGGUACCCUAGGAAUCAGCAUCGGCUAACUCCGUGCCAGCAGCCGCGGUAAUACGGAGGAUGCAAGCGUUAUCCGGAAUUAUUGGGCGUAAAUCGUCCGCAGGUGGCUAUACAAGUCUGCUGUCAAAGACCGUAGCUUAACUACGGAAAGGCGGUGGAAACUGUAAGGCUAGAGGCCGGUAGGGGUAGCGGGAAUUUCCAGUGUAGCGGUGAAAUGCGUAGAGAUUGGAAAGAACAUCGGUGGCGAAAGCGCGCUACUUGGCUGUGCCUGACACUGAGGGACGAAAGCUAGGGGAGCGAAAGGGAUUAGAUACCCCUGUAGUCCUAGCCGUAAACGAUGGAGACUAGGCGUAGCUUGUAUCGACCCAAGCUGUGCCGAAGCUAACGCGUUAAGUCUCCCGCCUGGGGAGUACGCACGCAAGUGUGAAACUCAAAGGAAUUGACGG